rnacentral:tRNA from 1 species
GCUUAGUUGGUAGAGUGCUUGCCUCACAUGCAGAAUGUCCUGGGUUCAAUCCCCAG